AUGAUGGGAUCAACAAAACCAAUUAUUAGAGUUCGUGAAUUUCGGAUCAUAUUCUACAUAGCUGUUCUGAUCAUCAAUUUCAUCAGAACGAGUACUUCUCAAGCACCAAUCUACGUCGGAGAUGACUGCCAUGACAGAGCCCAGCAAGCUCUUACAGCCUCAUACAAAGCCAACCUUAACCAGCUUCUCGCAUGGCUCUCAACCAACGCAGGCACAAGCGAAGGCUACAACCAUACGGCCAUCGGCACUGCCACUAAUGCUGUCUACGGCCUUUAUGACUGCCGCGGUGACACCGCCGGAUACUUCUGCCAGUUCUGUGUCUCCGCUGCCACUAGAGACGUUCUCCAACGCUGUCCCAAUCAAUCUUCCGCUGUAAUAUGGUUCGACUUCUGCAUCCUUCGAUACUCUAACAAUAACUUCUUUGGGAACGUGACGACUAGCCCGUCUUGGAUUGUCGUCGGAGCAAAGACGGUGUCGGAUCUGAGUUUUAUGAGAAGUCUAAUACAAACAGCGACAGAAGACACAAAGGAAUUGGGUGCAAGAGGAGAGUUUGAUUUGGGUGGAGGAAGAAAAAGGUAUGCAUUGGUUCAGUGUAGUAGAGACCUUAACACCGAAGGUUGCAGACAAUGCUUGGAGGCUAUGGUGGAUAAAGUUCCUCAGAGUUGUGAGAAGCUAGGAUGGCAGGUUUUGGCUCCAAGUUGUCUGAUUAAGUACGAUGAUUUCAUGUUUUAUCAAUCAACUUCUUCCUCUAGUCCUAAUUCUUCAACAGAUCAUCGCUGUAUCAGUCUAUCUUCCGUCGCUGUUCGCUGUUCCAGAUCAUCGUUCGCCACUGUUCGCUGUUCCAAAUCAUCAUCUGCUGCUGUUUGUUGUUCCAGAUUAGUGUUUGUUACUGUUUGUUCAUUUCUGUGUCAUGUCGCGCCAUCUGUCUCUGUUUUUGUGCUGCCGUCGCCGUCAACGCCAUCUCCUGCAUCACUAUUCCAGAUCUGCAUUGCUGUUCCAGAUCUGUGCGGCUGCUGUACACUGGAGGAAGCGACACCGUGAAGACCUCCGCUACUGCCGUGAAGACUAUAUUGUGAAGGUACCUACACAAUUACAAGGUUGGGAGUGUGGAUACUAUGUUAUGAAGUUUAUGAGAAAAGUAAUCACACAACAAGAGUUGAUCAUUCCUAAAAAUACUUGGAGUCUAUGGUGUGAUGGAAAAUGCUUGGAACUGAUGGACCCAAUUCUGAAAGAUUCAUACGUAGAAAGCGAAGUUUUGAAGUGCAUACACAUUGGCUUGCUUUGUGUCCAAGAAGAUGCAAAAGAUAGACCAAC